UGGUUCUGGCAUCGAUGAAGAACGCAGCGAAAUGCGAAAAGUAAUGUGAAUUGCAGAAUUCAGUGAAUCAUCGAAUCUUUGAACGCACAUUGCGCCCCUUGGUAUUCCGGGGGGCAUGCCUGUCCGAGCGUCAUUGCAACCUUCAAGCCCAUGCUUGGUCUUGGGCCCCCGCCUCCAGGAAAGGCGCGCCCGAAAAGCGUCGGCGGUCCCGGGCGGAUCCGAGCGUAGUCAGAUGUCAUCGCUCCGGAGAAGCGUCGCGGCCGGCCGUUAAACCGCCCCUUUGUCCACGAAUUGACCUCGGAUCAGGUAGGGAUACCCGCUGA
rnacentral:misc_RNA from 1 species